rnacentral:rRNA from 1 species
UACGGAGGGUGCAAGCGUUGUCCGGAUUUAUUGGGUUUAAAGGGUGCGUAGGCGGCUGAUUAAGUCCGGGGUGAAAGCCCGUUGCUCAACAACGGAACUGCCCUGGAAACUGGUGAGCUUGAGUACAGACGAGGGCGGCGGAAUGGAAGGUGUGGCGGUGAAAUGCAUAGAUACCUUCCAGAACCCCGAUUGCGAAGGCAGCUGCCUAGACUGUGACUGACGCUGAGGCACGAAAGCGUGGGGAGCGAACAGG